UUGGACAGAUUGUGUUCACUCUUUUCCAG
rnacentral:piRNA from 1 species